UAUCUGGGCUGGUGAUGGGGAGACAGGGACACAGACAGCAUUCCUCUGCCCAGCCUAAACUGAGGUCAGAUUCUUCCCUGCUCCCUGUGGAGCAGUGGUUCUCAGCCCCUGACACACACUAGAGUCAUCUGGGAGCUUAUAAACCAUGGUGCCAGGGCCCACUCCACGGGAUCCUAAUUUCAAUGCUCAGGGCUGGGACCCGGACAUCAGUAUCUAUGAAGAGUCAUAUGUGUGACUCCACUGUGCAGCCAGAGGCGUGAACCACAGCUGUGGAGAGAGGGGCAGCAGGGUGGAAAGACAGGGGCUGUUUUCUGGAGGAACCUCAUUAAGCUCUGGGCAUGCAAAAGAUUACUUUAUGGAGGGAAUUCGAGAGGGAGCCCUUCAGCCCUCACCCCAUCCCAGCCUUGGGACCCUGCAGGCUUAGGCAGGCAGCAGUGGGGAACCAGUGUGCAAGGGAAGCGGGAGGGAGACUUCUGGCAUGCAGAAGAGAAGCUCAGAGUGGCAGCAGCGCCCGUUCAGCUGGAGCAAGCUGCUGCCGUGGAUGCGCUGCCAUGUAGCUUGAGGGCAGUGGAAUGCAGGCAGGUGGCAGGCACAGAAGAAGAGAGGAGAUGUGCUUUGAGCACUCACAGAACAGCCCCCGGGGUCCCCCAGAAUCAACCACUGGGACUUGUGUGGGAGGGAGUCCACAGGUGAGGGUCAUUGGCAUUGGGUUAGCAACGGUGCUCUGUUGUGCACCAACCUCAAAUGCACUCAAGGCUGCGUUUCUGCAAGUCCCCGUCCACUUCCUAAGCGUCUUUCUUCCUCCAGCAUCCCCUAGUCUCCACCUCUAACUGCACGACAAGAAGAGCAUCAGACUCCCCCUGACGAUGAGGGGGCGUCCAUCAGGAGGGGGCAUUCCUGGUGCUAAAUGCCUUGACUGAGGCUCGCAAGAACAACUGCUCUCCAUUGAAGGAUUAGCUGAAAGCCUGUGACUGCAAAUGAAAUCAAAGGGGCUAAUGAGAAACCUUUGCACAGCGCAGGUUGCCCUGGAAUCAGGUAAUCAGAUGCUGCCUUAAUGGUGGCUACUUACGGGAAAGGAGGCCCUGGGCAGCAUUUCUACAUGUAAUUAUGCUCUCAUCCCAACCCUGCUACUAAGGGAACGUGAACUUUACUGCCGUGCUCACCACCGGUUUUCAUUUUACUGCACAGGCUGACUCGUAUUCCACCAGGAAGAUGAAAGAUUUCAGGUUCCGAGGCUGUCAGACAUUUCCACUUAUGAAUUUAGCAAGACUCCUAAAUCAUGACUGAGGCACAGCUUCCAAUCUCUCUGCCCUCAUUUUCAGGCUUUCUAAUAUCUCCCCUGCUCUUUGGGUAUCUUGGAGCCAUCACACUAAUAGGAACAAUUUAAUGGAGUCCUGGGGAGGCAGGGGCUCGGAGGAUUACGUUUCAACACUUGGCUCCUUAUCGUAGAGAAACACCCUUCCUUCAUAGAUGCCCUGGCUUCCAGACAUGCUCGUUUCUCUCUCUCAGCUCAGCCAGCUGUGCACCUGAUCAGGGCUGUAGAAUUAGAAAUUUGGUUACUGCUCUGUCUUUAAUCUCAGUUCCAGCCAAGGAUGGCUUGAGGGCACAUAAGUGCUAAUCAAAACUUAGGAGUGACCAUCAAUAUGCAAAGACCAAAGAAUCAUUUUUCUCAAUGCUCCGAAGUCCAGUCUUAAUCAAAGCCCGGCCCUCUGCCUCCGGCCCUCCAUAAGCAUCCGCCAAGUAACCCCAGCUAGAGUCCUUGAGGUUUUCCCAAACUCCAUCUUCCACCACCCCC
ensembl:lncRNA